UUGUGGAGGAGGACGCCGAAGGUGGGGCUAAUGACUGGGGUGAAGUCGUAACAAGGUAGCCGUACCGGAAGGUGCGGCUGGAUCACCUCCUAACAGGGAGACAUAAACUGAUUAUGAUGUCUGAUUUAUAAAUUUAGGCCGUAAUCCUGUCACCUUAGGUCGAUCGGUACCUCAGAUUAUUAACUGUGAAAUUGAGAAAUCACUUAUCAUUAGUCUUUUAAUUUCAGUUCCUAAACUUGUCUAGGUCACACCCAACAAACUUUCUCCUGGGCUAUUAGCUCAGGCGGUUAGAGCGCACCCCUGAUAAGGGUGAGGUCCCUGGUUCAAGUCCAGGAUGGCCCAUUCGGUGUUGGGGGUAUAGCUCAGUUGGUAGAGCGCCUGCUUUGCAAGCAGGAUGUCAGCGGUUCGAGUCCGCUUACCUCCACUGAUCGACCUCCUGAUUACUGACUUAAGGAGAAGGCUUUGUUAGAUGUGACUUAGAAAUGUUUAACUGAAUUAGAACCUAGCUUCCUGUCAUUCCGAAUACAAUAAAGUAAAUUGUUUUUGGUUGAUAUGACGCUGGGCUCAUUGAAGUUCUCAUUGAAUUUCAAUCAAGUUCAGUAGAACCUUGACAACUGCAUAGGUAAGUCUGGAAAGAAUAAAGCAUCUCAUAGAUGCAUCAAUAAUUUUAUUAUUUAUAGAUUUUCUAAAGUAAUAAUUUUGUUGGUGUUAAUUCUUGAGCAAGAGUUGAAACUCUAUGAAUCUAAUUUUAUUAAUUAAAAUAAUAUUGGGAUUUAUAGGGUAUUAAUGGUCAAGCUACAA
rnacentral:misc_RNA from 1 species